UACGGAGGGUGCAAGCGUUGCUCGGAAUCACUGGGCGUAAAGGGCGUGUAGGCGGCUUCGUGUGUCUGGCGUGAAAGCCCCGGGCUUACCCCGGGAAGUGCGUUGGAAACUGCGGAGCUAGAGUCCCGGAGAGGGAGGUGGAAUUCCAGGUGUAGCGGUGAAAUGCGUAGAUAUCUGGAAGAACACCGGUGGCGAAGGCGGCCUCCUGGACGGUGACUGACGCUGAGACGCGAAAGCGUGGGGAGCAAACAGGAUUAGAUACCCUGGUAGUCCACGCCAUAAACGAUGGGCACUAGGUGUCGCGGGUAUUGACCCCUGCGGUGCCGCAGCUAACGCAUUAAGUGCCCCGCCUGGGGAAUACGGCCGCAAGGUUAAA
rnacentral:rRNA from 1 species